rnacentral:rRNA from 1 species
ACACUGGAACUGAGACACGGUCCAGACUCCUACGGGAGGCAGCAGUGGGGAAUAUUGCACAAUGGGCGCAAGCCUGAUGCAGCCAUGCCGCGUGUAUGAAGAAGGCCUUCGGGUUGUAAAGUACUUUCAGCGGGGAGGAAGGGAGUGAGGUUAAUAACCUCAUUCAUUGACGUUACCCGCAGAAGAAGCACCGGCUAACUCCGUGCCAGCAGCCGCGGUAAUACGGAGGGUGCGAGCGUUAAUCGGAAUUACUGGGCGUAAAGCGCACGCAGGCGGUCUGUCAAGUCGGAUGUGAAAUCCCCGGGCUCAACCUGGGAACUGCAUUCGAAACUGGCAGGCUGGAGUCUUGUAGAGGGGGGUAGAAUUCCAGGUGUAGCGGUGAAAUGCGUAGAGAUCUGGAGGAAUACCGGUGGCGAAGGCGGCCCCCUGGACAAAGACUGACGCUCAGGUGCGAAAGCGUGGGGAGCAAACAGGAUUAGAUACCCUGGUAGUCCACGCUGUAAACGAUGUCGACUUGGAGGUUGUUCCCUUGAGGAGUGGCUUCCGGAGCUAACG